AUAUAUGGUUGAGCCAUCCACACC
rnacentral:siRNA from 1 species